GUGAGCCGUAUGCGAUGAAAGUCGCACGUACGGUUCGAGCAGUCAAAAUUUUCGUAAGAAAACUAGAUUGAAACAGACCCUAUGCAGCUUUACUGUAGU
rfam:Rhizoctonia solani strain AG-1 IB complete mitochondrial genome, isolate 7/3/14